UACGUAGGGGGCGAGCGUUGUCCGGAAUUACUGGGCGUAAAGGGUGCGUAGGCGGCCAAUCAAGUCAGAUGUGAAAUACCAGGGCUCAACCUUGGGGGUGCAUUUGAAACUGGAUGGCUUGAGUGCAGGAGAGGAAAGUGGAAUUCCUAGUGUAGCGGUGAAAUGCGUAGAGAUUAGGAGGAACACCAGUGGCGAAGGCGACUUUCUGGACUGUAACUGACGCUGAGGCACGAAAGCGUGGGGAGCGAACAGG
rnacentral:rRNA from 1 species